rnacentral:lncRNA from 1 species
ACCAGAAGGAAGUUAAUCUUCUCUUAGCAAACAUAGCAGAAAGUGAGAAGCAAAACAAACAGGUAAAUUGCAUUUGGUAAAGAUGACAGUAAAUUCAGUUAACUAUUGUAUCAAAAUUCAGUUAAGUGACUUGUCGACUGAAUUUUAAACUUGGUUGCAAGCUUUGAGCCUGUUCGGCAACCAUCUAGCUCCGUAAAAUACGGAAGCGGACGGAGCACCACUUUCGUGACUCCAAGGCCGCUUUAGGAGCGGAGGUGCAGGGCAGAGAGCUGCCAAACAGGGCUUUUAUAUUCAAAGCAGUAUACAAUACUGAAUUUUUAGCAACAUAACUAAAUCUGUUGAGCAAGAUUCAGUUUGACAAUAUCUUGCUCUAAAUUUACACUGUUGAGCUGAUUGCACAGUGGCUAUCAGAGAUAUCUCUUGCUGUAAAAUUCUGUUCUAAAUUUAGCAAAAUUUUGCUGCAAAUUCAGUAAAAUUAACACAUGAGCAAGUAAUUCGCCUUCUGCAGCCGGAGAUCUUGGGGCACUGGGCAUGGAGGGUCGUCCGAAGGGAGCAAGACGGCUCAGCCUUGCCCCUCGUCCUGCUGCUACCCUCCUCCCCAUCCAGGUCACUCGUUCUGCUCCAGGACAUCGCCGCUGACGUACUCCUCAUUUGACCUCGCAAGGGGGAGCCUUUAGUUUGCUGUUGUCGGUGUGUCCGCGGGUUCUAGCAGCAGCUGCGGCUCCCAUCAUUUCCAGUUGGUGGUGGUCCGGAUCCAGUGCAUGCGGCCUCGCAGCCGUCGUCAGCCUCGCCGGAUCCGACGCAGGCGGAGCCGAGUGCCGCAUCCGUGGGAAAAUGAAGGAUUUUUACUGUAUAAAGGGAGGGAAAGCUGCGGCGGCGGAGGGAGCGGCGAAGGAGACAGGUGCACCGGUGGAGGAGGAUGCAGUUGCACUGGGGAAGCAGGGGAGCUCCAACGGAGGGGGGCACGCAGCUGCGGCGGCGGACUGCGUGUUAUAUCGAAGGAGGCGGAUUACGGCUUUUGUCGGGAGAAGGUGG